AGGUGUUUCGUGCUUAGUGGAGAUGAAGCUUAAUUAUUAUUGAGUGAGUGCUCAUAGAAGGUGAAAAGCCUGUAUGGUUUUGCUUGUCUGUUGAACUGAAACACUGAAGAGUCUAGUUGUUUGGGAGUACAACUUAAAGCUGGUGGUAAAUUUCAUCAAAGGCUAAAUAUAUGAGGGGGCUAAUAGCGAACAAGUACCAUGAGGGAAAGUUGAAAAGAACUCUGACGAGAGAGUUCAAUAGUACGUGAAACCAUAUUGAGUAAAACAGAUAACUGUGCUGUUACGCGGUGCGCCUAUCAACAGUUUGUUAGGUGAUGUGAUGCUUCGCGUGUAGGUUGUCUAUUCAGCUGAUUGCUCGAGGUCAACAUUACUAGAAAAUUGUGCAUUAGUGCGCACUCGGACAUUGAGAAACUAUGCUGCUGCAGCAUCGGUGUUCAGCAGUCCGUACAUAGUGCGAGGUUGUGCGCUGGGUGCAGCUGGAUGGUGUAGUUUAGCUGUGUCAGAGCUGUCGGCUGCGUUUAUCAUAGGUUCCUGCUGUAUCUGCGAAUUGGUUUAUUCCUUUUUGCAGCGAGUCUGGUAUUAUCAGUAAGCGGCCUGCCAUCGAUGUUUAGCAUUAGUUAUUUGACCCGUCUUGAAACACGGACCAAGGAGUUCAAAUGGCACGCGAGUCAUAGGGGUUUCACCCGAAGGCGAAGUGAAAUGCAAACGUAUUGUUAUUUGUGGUUGUUCCAUGAUUAAGCGAUAAGCUACUGAUGCUUUCUGGCAUUAGUAGACUAAAAGCGUGAUAUUUGAGACCCGAAAGAUGGUGACCUAUGCCUAGUUAAGAUGAAGCCAGAGGAAACUCUGGUGGAUGUCUGAAGUUAUUCUGACGUGCAAAUCGAUAAUCUGAUCUGGGUAUAGGGGCGAAAGACUAAUCGAACCAUCUAGUAGCUGGUUCCUUCCGAAGUUUCCCUCAGGAUAGCAAGCGUACGCCAUAGUUUCAUCCCGUAAAGCGAAUGAUUAGAGGAAUUGGGGCGUAUACAGCCUCAACCUAUUCUCAAACUUUUAAUGGGUGUGAAAGUUCUUUCUCGAUUGAAGAACGUUGCUAAAUAAGUAUGCUUAGUGGGCCAUUUUUGGUAAGCAGAACUGGCGCUGUGGGUUGAACCAAUUGUUGAGUUAAAGUGCCUAAAGCUGUAAUGCGCAUGAGAUCUAUAAAGGGUGUUAGUUGCUGAAGACAGCAGG
rnacentral:rRNA from 1 species